UUUUUUUUCUUAGUAUCCAUCUGCGAAGGGCUUCCUACACUUGACUGCAAGACUCUCCAAAACAGAAGACACUGGAACUCUGUUACACUUACCUUUUUAGGUCCGAAGUGUGACUGUGCCUGACACAUAACAGCCCUGUGAAGAAUGUACUACUGUUCACUCCAUUUUAUAGACGAUGGGAUUGAAAAUUGAGGAUGUCAACUGCCCUUGGUUGCAGAACUAUUUAGAGGAAUCACCCAAAGUAGAAGAGUUUUGAAUGAAGAAAUUCGGGAAGUUUGUGGUGAAAUGAGUUCUACUCAGUCCUGGGGGUUGGAAAGGAUCACGGCAUUAAGUACUCCCUGAGAAGAGCCCAAAGUGUGUGAUCAAAGAGCCAGGCAUGUGACGAUCGCUCCAUUUCUGAAAUACCGCCUCAAUCCUUUUUUACUUUAAAAAUAAUGUUUAUUCUGAUAACAAAACAAAUUAUUAUAGACAAU